AAGCUUGCCCUCAAGCUUGUAAGAAGGAAAACGUGCCACGAACUCCUUCGAAGACAACCACGAAUCAUCCGCUGAAGAUCUAUCCUUCCAACGUACUAACAACUCCAAACAACCAGGCUCAUCAAAGCGCUUAGCCAAAACAUCCAAGGGAAUCAAGUCAUCAAACUUCUCACCCAAACACACUGGAGGUAACGUCGAUACCACCGUGUGAUUGCCCAAUGCCUUCUUUAACUGAUAAAUAUGAAACACCGGAUGUAUACGAGAGCCCGCUGGCAACUCUAACUUAUACGCGGCUGUUCUAAUACGUUCCAACACCUUGUAAGGUCCAUAAAAAUUGGCUGCAGCUUCUGAUAAAAACGUCGAGACACAGACCGUUGGCGAUAAGGCCGAAGUUUGAGAUACACCAUAUCAUCCACCACAAGUUCCACAUCACGCCUAUGUUUAUCAGCCUGUUUCUUCAUCAAAUCU
rnacentral:lncRNA from 1 species